CAACAGGGAUUGCCUCAGUAACGGCGAGUGAAGCGGCAACAGCUCAAAUUUGAAAUCUGGCUCUCGGGCCCGAGUUGUAAUUUGUAGAGGAUGCUUUUGGUGAGGUGCCUUCCGAGUUCCCUGGAACGGGACGCCAUAGAGGGUGAGAGCCCCGUCUGGUUGGACACCGAUCCUCUGUAAAGCUCCUUCGACGAGUCGAGUAGUUUGGGAAUGCUGCUCUAAAUGGGAGGUAUAUGUCUUCUAAAGCUAAAUACCGGCCAGAGACCGAUAGCGCACAAGUAGAGUGAUCGAAAGAUGAAAAGAACUUUGAAAAGAGAGUUAAAAAGUACGUGAAAUUGUUGAAAGGGAAGCGCUUGUGACCAGACUUGGGCUUGGUUGAUCAUCCGGGGUUCUCCCCGGUGCACUCUUCCGGCUCAGGCCAGCAUCAGUUCGCCCUGGGGGAAAAAGGCUUCGGGAAUGUGGCUCUCUCCGGGGAGUGUUA
rnacentral:misc_RNA from 1 species